GAAACAAAAGAAUAAAAAGAGGAAAGAAACAGAAUAGCAGGGAACGAAACAGAGAAGGGAGAAAGGAAGAAAAGAAAAAGGGAAAAAUAAGGUUUGAAAGGUUCCAAGUUAAUUUGCUAAUGUUGUCUCGGGAAACCUCGGCUAAGCAAGGAAAAAAUGGCAAAGACAAAGGGAGUUAGCUCGAGAAAAUACGGUUAAUAGGAGUCUAGUACCCGAUCCAGCAUCUGAACGAUCCCGACUCCAGCAAAUUUUGGGUGAUGUUUUCUUUCUUAAUUGAAAGUGGCAUGUACUAGGUGUUGUAUAAGUUAUAUAGAUAUACUUGUAAUGUUGGUUAUAAGAAUUGUAUACCACAUUUUGUUAUUAGUUUGAUAAAAUGGUAAAUAUUAUAUUAUAUAAUUUCGUAUUAAGUUGGAAUGAAAAAUGAAUGAAGUUAUUAGUUAA